UGGUGGGUAGUUUGACUGGGGCGGUCUCCUCCCAAAGCGUAACGGAGGAGCACGAAGGUUAGCUAAUCCUGGUCGGACAUCAGGAGGUUAGUGCAAUGGCAUAAGCUAGCUUGACUGCGAGCGUGACGGCGCGAGCAGGUGCGAAAGCAGGUCAUAGUGAUCCGGUGGUUCUGAAUGGAAGGGCCAUCGCUCAACGGAUAAAAGGUACUCCGGGGAUAACAGGCUGAUACCGCCCAAGAGUUCAUAUCGACGGCGGUGUUUGGCACCUCGAUGUCGGCUCAUCACAUCCUGGGGCUGAAGUAGGUCCCAAGGGUAUGGCUGUUCGCCAUUUAAAGUGGUACGCGAGCUGGGUUUAGAACGUCGUGAGACAGUUCGGUCCCUAUCUGCCGUGGGCGCUGGAGAAUUGAGGGGGGCUGCUCCUAGUACGAGAGGACCGGAGUGGACGCAUCACUGGUGUUCGGGUUGUCAUGCCAAUGGCACUGCCCGGUAGCUAAAUGCGGAAGAGAUAAGUGCUGAAAGCAUCUAAGCACGAAACUUGCCCCGAGAUGAGUUCUCCCUGAGACUUUAAGUCUCCUGAAGGAACGUUGAAGACGA
rnacentral:rRNA from 2 species